AUCGACCUGCGAACGGAACGGAACUGUCAGUGCUAACAAGAGCCUCUUCGUUUCGUUGUGCUGUUUUUGGUGCUGAGUGUUUGUAAAAAGUUACUAGCUUUUGGUUUUGUUUUGGUGCUUGUGUACAAUAGAAUUACAGAGGCAUGGCCCGGGGGCAGCGGCGGUAUUCCCGAAAAAAUAGGAAAGCUGAAAUUUAGAAGAAAAAAAAUAUUAAAUAAAGAUAUAAGAAGAGAUGUAAGAAGGCAAGCUGACAAUGGGAUGGUAUGUCUGCAAAGCCAAUCAUAAAGAACCAAAUAAACUGCUUAUGGGCUUAUGGUUAUAUUAAACCGAUUGCAUGUAUCUAUAUACUCUAAGCAUGUAUCAUAUUUGUUUUCUCAGCCUCACACUUUAACUCAGGUUCGCUGAAGCAUCGGCAAGCUGAAUGUGAGAUGGUAUGUUGAUGUCCUGUACAUUGACACGGAAAUGAGGCAUUGAAGAUGUUAUGUUGGGGACAAUGCAUGAUAGAACAG